rnacentral:rRNA from 1 species
CCUGGCUCACGUUGAACGCUAGCUACAGGCUUAACACAUGCAAGUCGAGGCGUAUCAGGAAGAAAGCUUGCUUUCUUUGCUGGCGACCGGCGCACGGGUGAGUAACACGUAUCCAACCUGCCCUUUACUCGGGGAUAGCCUUUCGAAAGAAAGAUUAAUACCCGAUAGUAUAAUGAUUCCGCAUGGUUUCAUUAUUAAAGGAUUCCGGUAAAGGAUGGGGAUGCGUUCCAUUAGGUUGUUGGUGAGGUAACGGCUCACCAAGCCUUCGAUGGAUAGGGGUUCUGAGAGGAAGGUCCCCCACAUUGGAACUGAGACACGGUCCAAACUCCUACGGGAGGCAGCAGUGAGGAAUAUUGGUCAAUGGGCGCGAGCCUGAACCAGCCAAGUAGCGUGAAGGAUGACUGCCCUAUGGGUUGUAAACUUCUUUUAUAUUAGAAUAAAGUGCAGUAUGUAUACUGUUUUGUAUGUAUAAUAUGAAUAAGGAUCGGCUAACUCCGUGCCAGCAGCCGCGGUAAUACGGAGGAUCCGAGCGUUAUCCGGAUUUAUUGGGUUUAAAGGGAGCGUAGGUGGACUGGUAAGUCAGUUGUGAAAGUUUGCGGCUCAACCGUAAAAUUGCAGUUGAUACUGUCAGUCUUGAGUACAGUAGAGGUGGGCGGAAUUCGUGGUGUAGCGGUGAAAUGCUUAGAUAUCACGAAGAACUCCGAUUGCGAAGGCAGCUCACUGGACUGCAACUGACACUGAUGCUCGAAAGUGUGGGUAUCAAACAGGAUUAGAUACCCUGGUAGUCCACACAGUAAACGAUGAAUACUCGCUGUUUGCGAUAUACAGUAAGCGGCCAAGCGAAAGCAUUAAGUAUUCCACCUGGGGAGUACGCCGGCAACGGUGAAACUCAAAGGAAUUGACGGGGGCCCGCACAAGCGGAGGAACAUGUGGUUUAAUUCGAUGAUACGCGAGGAACCUUACCCGGGCUUAAAUUGCAGUGGAAUGAUGUGGAAACAUGUCAGUGAGCAAUCACCGCUGUGAAGGUGCUGCAUGGUUGUCGUCAGCUCGUGCCGUGAGGUGUCGGCUUAAGUGCCAUAACGAGCGCAACCCUUAUCUUUAGUUACUAACAGGUCAUGCUGAGGACUCUAGAGAGACUGCCGUCGUAAGAUGUGAGGAAGGUGGGGAUGACGUCAAAUCAGCACGGCCCUUACGUCCGGGGCUACACACGUGUUACAAUGGGGGGUACAGAAGGCAGCUACCUGGUGACAGGAUGCUAAUCCCAAAAGCCUCUCUCAGUUCGGAUCGAAGUCUGCAACCCGACUUCGUGAAGCUGGAUUCGCUAGUAAUCGCGCAUCAGCCACGGCGCGGUGAAUACGUUCCCGGGCCUUGUACACACCGCCC